CCUACGGGAGGCAGCAGUGGGGAAUUUUGGACAAUGGGCGCAAGCCUGAUCCAGCAAUGCCGCGUGCAGGAUGAAGGCCUUCGGGUUGUAAACUGCUUUUGUACGGAGCGAAACGGUCUGCCCUAAUACGGUGGGCUAAUGACGGUACCGUAAGAAUAAGCACCGGCUAACUACGUGCCAGCAGCCGCGGUAAUACGUAGGGUGCGAGCGUUAAUCGGAAUUACUGGGCGUAAAGCGUGCGCAGGCGGUGAUGUAAGACAGAUGUGAAAUCCCCGGGCUCAACCUGGGACCUGCAUUUGUGACUGCAUCGCUAGAGUACGGUAGAGGGGGGAUGGAAUUCCGCGUGUAGCAGUGAAAUGCGUAGAUAUGCGGAGGAACACCGAUGGCGAAGGCAAUCCCCUCGGACCUGUACUGACGCUCAUGCACGAAAGCGUGGGGAGCAAACAGGAUUAGAUACCCUGGUAGUCCACGCCCUAAACGAUGUCAACUGGUUGUUGGGGUCUUCACUGACUCAGUAACGAAGCUAACGCGUGAAGUUGACCGCCNGGGGAGUACGGCCGCAAGGUUGAAACUCAAAAUGAGUUAGUAGGACGNGAGAGNGCGACGGACGACGACGAGGGAGGGAGGGAG
rnacentral:rRNA from 1 species